rnacentral:tRNA from 1 species
GCGGACGUGGUGGAAUUGGUAUACACAGGGAACUUAAAAUUCUCGGCUUCAUGCAUACGGGUUCGAGUCCCGUCGUCCGCACCA